CUGAACAAAGAAAACUUCAAGCCCUAAUUUGCUACAGUUAUUUAGUCACCACUGUUGUCUCCUUCCCCAAUCCAAUCCAAAUUUUCUUUUGAUUUUUGAAUCGCAUCUUAUUUUUUCAAUUUGUUAUAUUUUUGAGACACUAUAAAUGUUUUUUUUAGCUUUUUGUUUGUUGGUUCUGGAUGAAUUGUUAGGGGUAAAGAUGACGGUGCUUUUUAUUUCUGACACCUCUUGUUUGACAAGAGCGUUCAAAACGUUCUUCCAUGAGCACAUUAAGCAAACCUCUGAGCCCCUCACAUAUUUUUUUUCCAAUUUCAGAUCACAAGAACAUAUAGUUUUCAAACUAUAUCUGUUUUUUCCUUUGUUGUUUUUCGUUUUGUAAAUUUUUGAGUGGAAAUUCAGGCAGCCCCGUUUUCUAUAAUUGAUUUGAAGGGAGGUGUUAAUCUGCUCGUAAAUUGAAUUUGUUAAUGCUCUUCAGAUUUGCUGAGAUAUAUUAAUAUCUUUGAAGCUGGUCCAGUUAUGGAUGUGAUGAAUAUUUCCCCAGAUUAUCGAAGCUGAAAUAACUGAGCGCUUUAUAAUGUAUUUUCUCCUCUUGUGGGAAAAUCCAAGCUAGAUAUUCUGAUUUAUAUACUUUUAAUAUGAUUAUUUACGUUUUAUGCAUGUUUAGUGUUUGUUAAAAUGCAUCAAUGAAGUGCCAUCAAUGCAUAUAUACAAUGAUCUGAUAUGAUUUGUAUAUUCUAUUUCUGCUCCGUAAUUUAGCUUUGUUUGAAUGAGAUUUAGGGAUAUUUCAUUGUUUAAUUGAUAGAAGUAUGUAUCACUUCUGAA